CCUACGGGCGACCGCAGUGAGGAAUAUUGGUCAAUGGGCGCGAGCCUGAACCAGCCAAGUAGCGUGAAGGAUGACUGCCCUACGGGUUGUAAACUUCUUUUAUAAAGGAAUAAAGUGAGGCACGUGUGCCUUUUUGUAUGUACUUUAUGACUAGGGAUCGGCUAACUCCGUGCCAGCAGCCGCGGUAAUACGGAGGAUCCGAGCGUUAUCCGGAUUUAUUGGGUUUAAAGGGAGCGUAGAUGGGUUGUUAAGUCAGUUGUGAAAGUUUGCGGCUCAACCGUAAAAUUGCAAUUGAUACUGGCAGCCUUGAGUACAGUUGAGGUAGGCGGAAUGCGUGGUGUAGCGGUGAAAUGCUUAGAUAUCACGAAGAACUCCGAUUGCGAAGGCAGCUUACUAAACUGCCACUGACAUUGAUGCUCGAAAGUGUGGGUAUCAAACAGGAUUAGAUACCCGAGUAGUC
rnacentral:rRNA from 1 species